rnacentral:misc_RNA from 1 species
UGCGUCUUGACGUUUCUGAAAACAUCGUUGUUGCUGUUGGUCUCGCCAUCCAGAGAGAGACACACGCCUACUCCGACGUGCACGCGCACACGUAUAUAUAUAUAUAUAUAUAUGUGUGUGUGUGUGUGUGUGUGUGGCGCUUGCUCUCUGUCUCGCACUGUCUUGCUCUCUCAGCGUACGCCCGAUUUGGCGUGUGCUUUCGACCUCUCUUUCAGCCAUUUGUCGCACUCCGCUCCGUGCGCCGCCGUUUCCGUCCCCCUCUUUGCGCGCUCCACUCUCUGACCCCCCUCCCCUCCGUCCUAGACGCGCACCCGCUUAUUUACAGCGACAGGCAUCGCUUCCACCUCGAGGGAAGGAACCGACGCCUUGACGGGGAUAUCAGAAGUGAAACUGCGACUGCGAACCCCAACAUCGCCAGCGACUUCAUCUGCACCAUGACGACGGCCGGCGACGGAUCGGCGGUGGGGUCCAGCAGUGCCCUCGACUUGGAUGAGAUGAUUAAUUACGUCAUACAAUGCAAGCCGCUCAGCGAACAGCAGGUGGCGCGUCUGUGCGAGAAGGUGAAGGAGGUGCUGGAGAAGGAGAACAACGUGCACGCGGUGAGAGCGCCAGUCACGGUGUGCGGCGACGUGCAUGGCCAGUUUCACGACUUGCUGGAGCUUUUCAAGAUUGGCGGGUUGCCGCCGGACACGAACUACCUGUUCAUGGGCGACUACGUGGACCGCGGCUACUACAGCGUCGAGACGGUGACGCUGCUUCUCCUCUACAAGCUGCGAUACCCCCAGCGACUACAUCUUCUCCGCGGCAACCACGAGUCGCGCCAGAUCACGCAGGUGUAUGGCUUCUACGAUGAGUGCAUUCGCAAGUACGGUAGCGCCAACGUAUGGACGAUCUUCACGGACCUGUUCGACUACCUGCCCCUGACAGCGUUGGUCGAGAACGACAUCUUCUGCCUUCACGGUGGUCUCUCACCGACGGUCGACACAUUCAGCCACAUCCGCAACCUCGACCGCGUGCAGGAAGUGCCGCACGAGGGGCCGAUGUGCGAUCUGCUGUGGUCGGACCCGGACGAUCGUGAUGGCUGGGGCAUCAGCCCCCGUGGCGCCGGCUUCACCUUCGGCCAAGGAGUCACCGAAGGCUUCUGCCACAACAACAAGAUCAAGACGAUCGCCCGUGCGCAUCAGCUUGUCAUGGACGGCUACAGCUGGACACACCAGGAUCAGCUCGUCACGAUCUUCAGCGCGCCAAACUACUGCUACCGCUGCGGCAACCUCGCCGGCCUUCUGGAGCUCGAUGAGCACAUGAACAAGUGCUUCUUUCAGUUCGACCCGGCUCCGCGACGCGGUGAAGCGCAGGUGUCGAAGAAGACGCCGGACUAUUUUCUAUAGAUACGAUGGAUGGAUGAUUGAUGGCGAUAGCAACGACACACGCACACAGGCACAACUCCCAUCCUCCCCCCGAGGUGCUCGGCACCCCGCCCAGCCGUGUGCGAGUGUACACGUGCUUGCUUCACGGACUUAUCGCCCCUCCCAACCACUGUCUUCUCUCUUCUCCGCUCCCCGGUCACAGCUCCGGGGCAAAUGUCGGAAGAGGGAAGGUGUGUGUGUAUGUGGGUGUGGGGGAGGAGGAGAUUGGAGGACGCAUAGAUGCGGCCCUCGAUCCCAGGCUUGCGCUGGCGUGUCUGUGCGCAUAUGUGUUUCCUUGCGGUGUGCGCGCAGACGUGUGUGCACAGGCAGUGCGUUUUGAUAUACAUGUAUGCGUAUAUAUAUAUAUAUGUAUGUUUGGGUGUAUGUGUGUGCCUGUUUUGCGUAUGAUGGCGCACCGCCAUUUUGACGUCUCUUCCACCAUUCGAAGAAGGAAAAUAAUAAUAACAAAACAAAAAGCGAAAUAAGAGGCGAGUGCGAACACACCGAAAGAAAUGGGAGGCGGGGAGGGGGAGGGGCUGGACGGGAUGCGUGUUGACCUGCGCGAGAGUCAUCUCCAGAAGAGGUAACCCAG